GUCAGAGCUAGCGAGUCCUCUGUGAGUCACACAGACCUGAUCUCCGUGGGGAUGGUCAUCCUUGAUGGACCCCCCUCCUUUACCAAGGCUCAGUUUCCUCUACUUAGAGUGGGGCAAAGUGGCCUCAGACUUGCUGGGUUGUCGAGGGAGGCUGACUGGAGAUGAAUGAGAACCUUUCCCAUCACUGGCAGGCACACGAUGGGACUCUGUGGUCUGGGGCUGAAACCACAUGCCUCAGCUAUCUGACAGCAUUGGCUUCGGUGCCAGGUUCCAGAUCCUGGAGGAAAGGGCUCAGAAAUGCCCAACAAAGCCCUCCCACCAGGCUCCAGGCCCUGCCUCCAACAGGACUUCUUCCCGCGGACUCGCAUCUCUGUUAAGACGCAGCACUUGAGGUCCGGCGGUGGGGAGAGGAUGGGCCUGAGGACCUAUAGCUCCUUUCAGUGUUGAGAGGUCUUUGCCCAUCUCUGUACCCAUCCUUAGAAAGUGAAAGUUGCUCAGUCAUGUCCGAUUCUUUGCGACCCCAUGGACUGUAUAGCCCCUGGAAUUCUCCAGGCCAGAAUACUGGAGUGGGUAGCCGUUCCCUUCUCCAGGGGAUCUUCCCAACCUAGGGACUGAACCCAGGUCUCCCGCAUUGCAGGCGGGUUCUUUACCAGCUGAGCCACCAGGAAGGUACCCAUCAUUAGGCAACUCCUAUUCAUCCACAGUGUGCUGGGCCAAGCACCCCAUCGGCGGGGAAGCGUGGCAGCGUGGACUUCCUGUCCAGCUCCGCAUCAAACCACCAAACUUGUAAAGAGUCUUUCUUUUCUCCUGGCUCCCCUUUCUUCCUCCUCCCCAUCUUUCUUCCCAUUCCUCUUCCCUCUCUCUCUUCUCAUGCAUCUGUGAAUCUAUCCAUCCACCUACCUUACAUUUCCCAGCCGUUUUUAGUGGGGAGAAAAAAGCUACACAUUCAGAGAAGCAAAUGUUUACUCCGCACCGAAGCUCUCACACCUCCUUGUAUCCUAGCACCUAGCUUUAUCCCCGAGGCAUCUGUUGUCCCCGACUCCUCGUGGAUUCCCUCAGAGAUUUUUUUGGCAAGUCCAAGUUCACGGAAGCCCAGCCAAGGACUCUGUCCUUUAAGGAUGGACACACCGUAAUCACUAUCCAAGCCCUGGAUCUUUUCACCUAGAGGAUGCUCUGUGUCACUAUAUAGGCACCGACUUCCUUUAAGGGGCUGCAAGGUGUCCCAUUCUGGGAUGAGCCAAACUAGAUCUAUCCAGGACCCUUUUCCUACUCUUCAUCUGUCACUACCUUUUGGAUGCCUGUCUCUCUGAAGUGAAUGUAGGCUUUGUGUGGACGGAGCUGUUUUUGUGUUUUGUCUAUUUCUCUAUCUUGGGAGUAUAGCAUGGAAGGUCUAGAGUACAUCAAGUUCUCAGAGUCCUCGAAUGGGUGGAUGGAGGAAGGAAGGAAAAAAAGAAGGAAGGAAGGAAGGGAGGAAGGGUGAAUGGACGGGUGGAUAGAUGAAUGCAUAGAUGGCUUAUAGAAGCUGGCCUAGGUCUCUGGUUCUCCUGCCUCCCCCUGUCUCUCAUGACCCCUUGACCUUGAUCCCCCCCAGGGAGGACCCAGUGGGGAGUCCCUGUCUUCCAGGGAGGGGGCGCCGGCUUGCAGAUAAGCACAUGCUGUCCCACUAUGAAGCUUGUGAACCCAGGAGCCACAGCAGGCUGCCAACCCCAGCUCUGCCUUGGACGCUCGCAAACAGCAGUGACUCCCCAGGCCUGCCAGGGCUGGGUGGAGUCACACCACGCUGUGGAAACUUCUAUUUCUGCUUUACAAAAACAAAGCAGGGGAGGAGAGCUGGCUCUGCACGAGGCCCACGCCGGCCCCCUGAGUCAUCUCUCUCUCGAGUGAGGACAAGAAAGCCCUCCCAGGCCUGGGCCUCUCUCUGAGCCGUCAGCCCGCGAGGUCGUGCCCCUGUCUCCAGCAUCCCACAGUCCUGUCCUCUAGGAGAUGCAAACUCAGAUGUCCCUGGGGUGGGGGCGGGGCGGGGGGUGUGGCAGGCCAGAAACAUCCAAUAAAAAAUGUGGCCAGCACAGAGCCAAAGGGAGAACAAUUUUCCACACCAGGAAUAUGGAUUUUUUUUUUAAUAUGAAAUCUCCCAUUGUUUAAAUUCUGGAAACCAUUUCAGAUAUUUCUUUAAACAUUCUACGCAGGCCACGCCACCGUGCAGAGGGCCGGCCUGAGUGAGAGAACCACUGGUGGGGGCCUCUGCCAGACGCGUCUCCCGGAGAGUCGCCGACUCUCUGGGUCCCAACUGGGGUGUCUCUGUUCCCUGUGGUCGGGGCCCUCUCUGCAUCCCUGAAUGCCGGAGACGCUGCUCGCUGCUCGCAGAUGGGAAGCAGAAGCGACAGUCAGAUGCUUUCUCUGCUUUUAGUGAAAGCACAGGCUUUGCAGAUACAGAUGGCCCCUCAGGGGUGUGCCACUCGGAGCGAUCGGCACGUCCCCCGCACCUUUGGACCCCUGCUUCCUCUUCAGCUGAGGCCCGGUGUUUAUAAGCUCAGGCUCUAGUUUCAGAUCAUCUGGGUUCAAGUCCUGGGUCGGCCACUUAGCAGUUGGGCGAACUCGGAGAAGCAAUUCAGUUUUUUUUUUCUUCUUGCCUAGUCUCAGGGUGCUCACCUGUGAGACAAGGGUCAUGAUGGUCACCAUAAAAAUUAAAAGAACUGAUAUAUGGGAAGGCUUUAGAACAGUGGCGGGCUUCUUGUUAAGCUCUUGAUCCAUGUGCUGUUAAUAACCCAUUUGCCACCAGCUUGCUAAGCCUUCCUUUGGCGUGAAGCUUUGUGCUUGGCACUAAGGGGUUAGCUCUACGCAAAGCAUGACCCACCGGGAGGAAGCCCAUCCCAUUAAAUUCUCAAGGAAGCCCCAAAGGCAACCGAGGCUCAGAGAGGUGAAGGGGCUUGGCUGGGAUCACACAGCUGGUCAGCGGCCUUGAUGGGAUUCUAAUCGGGUAUGUCUGUCCUCCCCUCCAGAGCAGACGCUUCUCCCAGGGGGAAGGGGUGGGGAGCCCCCUUUUCCCCAGAAACUUCUAUUGACAAGCAGAGAGUUGGCCUCCACGUCCUGGGAGAAUCUGGAGACAUCUCUGACCACUUGCCAGUGGGCCUGAGGAAAGAAGGGUCAGCACGUGCUUGUGGCCCCAAGCCCAGGCGUUUGGAUGCCACUGGUCCUCAUUUGUGGGCACCAGGCAGACAUUUGCAGAAGCCUCUGACUUGUUUCUGCCUUUGGAUCUGGGCACAAGACGUCACCACAGUGCUCAUUCACCACUCGUACCUGAGAAUGACCACACGUCCAUGGAGUCCAUGACCGAGGGUCAUGCACCUUGCAUUCCUGUGUGCUAGCCUCAGAAGGGAGUGGCAUCACCCCCUUGCCUGAGUUGUGACAUCUAGGCGACUUAGUGGGCCAUGUUUAUUACUACGUGCCAGAGGCUGUGCUAAGAGCUUUAAAUUAAUGGACUCAUUUAAUCUGAAAGAGGACCGCCAGUGUGGUAGACACUGUGGGUCUCCCGUUUUACAGAUGAGAACACUGAGGCCCAAAGAGCAGAAGGUCAAGGUCAGUCAUUGCUAGACACCAAAAUAUAAGGUCGUGUGGGUCUUGGGAGGAGAGGGCUCUUCCUGCCUGGAGGACCCUAUGUGAUGUGCAGGGGACUCAGCUCCGUCCACCAACCCAGCCGGCCACUUACAUACCACCCUGGGUCAAGCAGCACACUUGUGGAGACCCCACUUUGAAACUACUGAUCGGUAUGCCAGUGCUCACCUCUCGAAAGGACAAGGACCAGACCACCUGCUUGCCUGUAAACAUGCUGGGUGCGUGGAAGGUGGUGACCAUUACCCCUGGUCUCCAUCAAGCAUGGCCAGCCAGUCACUCACGUCUGCUGAGAGCAUAGGCUGACAUUGUGUCAGAAGAACUAGACUGAGUUAAUUAAUUCAGGAAAGAGAAGUCCAGUCUUUGCCCAUCUGCUGCUAUGUGACCUUGGGCAUGUCCCUUCCCCUCUGGUCCUCAGCAUCUCCAGGGGCUUAAACUCUGUGACCUCUAGGAAUCUUCUAGGCUCAAGCUGUGGACGGAUAAUUGUAAAGACCCGGGAGCAUCUGCUUCAACUCAUCCCUCUUUGCUCCCUGGUCUGGAAAAGCCAGUGGCAAAAGCGCCACUGUCUCCUGUCUGAUUUGCAUGCAUCCUUGGCAAGAAGAAACCUCAGGACUAGUUUACUGUUUCCACAGCUAACGUUAUGACGGUUAUUGUUGUUCUAUUAGCUGCAUUAACUGAACUGGGAGAGAAGGAUGCACUGAGUAUUUCCUCUGAACUCUCUCUCGAAUCCUUGAAACAACCUCGGAGCCACCAUGCCUUUCGCCUAACAGACGAGGAAAGUAAAGCUCAGAGGGGUUGAUUAAGUAGCUCGAGGUCAUUCUCCAUGCCCAGUCAGGGAGAAACCACAGUUUGAACCUCGGAACUCCCAGUUCAGCAUCUCGGCUCUCAGCCAUAAGACGUCCUGCCCUAAGGGUCAGGAAGCAGAUCCUCCUCCUCCUCCUCUUGCCCAAAAGCUCCUCUCACCUUGGCCACCCCGCAUGGAAAUAUUCUGAGUCCAGACAGCCAAGAAAAGAGAAGAAAAGGGGGAAGAAAAGAAAAAUGAAGAACGCUUUGUUCCUUGAAAUGUUCUCCACAAACACAGUCUCCGCCAGGUACACGACUUAACUGUGGGGGUGACCCCCGAACCCCCGGCCGCCUCCAGCCCCCCUGGCAGCCGGGGGUGGUGGUCAUGUGACGCCCAGACAGCCCUGGUGGCUGUUCAAGCAUAUCCAUGUGAAGCGGCUCUGGUGAGCUCGGCUCCCAUGAGGGGGACAGGCGGGGGCUGGAGUCAGCCUUGGACACGGUCCCUCACGCCAGACCAGAGGAGCCCCUGGCAGCCCGCUGCCCUGGCAAGGAUGCUGGAUGCUAAGACUGCUUCUGAGCUCCCUGAGCAGGAAGCAGCUGCUCUCGAGAGUUGAACUGGCCACCACGGGUUAGCAGCAUCAGUAGGCUUCUGCUCACAAGGGUCGAGCCUGACCUUCCAGCUUCAUUCAUUCAUUUCAUACUCAUUGAAAAAAAUGUGACAUGCCUGCCAUGCUUCUCGGUAGCUGGGAUAUAGCAGCAAAACAGGUGACCUCUUCGUGGAAUCUCCAGUCUAGCAGGGUAGAUAGCCAUUAAAAAAUUAAAUACUCAAGUAUUCAGUUGCCAUUGUGCUAAGCUUCAGAAAGAAGGAGUAAGCAUCUGAUCACAUAGAAAAAGGGCCCGGGUCUUGACAAACAGUCAAUUAUGAAAAUACAACUCUCUCUUUCUUUCUCUCUCUCUCCAUAUUGCAAAGCAGAUAUUUGCAAGCCCUUCGAGUCCUACAGGCCUAAGAAAUGUCAGGCAUUGGAAGAAAUAUCAAAGAUCAUCCUGAUCUCCAUGGCCAAAGGCCAUGAAGUGGUGUGAUCUGGGGCUCCGACCUCUGAGCUGGAUUUCUGGGUUUGAAACCAACUCUACUGUCCACGGUAGAUGCUGGGACACGUUGCGGAUGCAGUUUCCCCGGGAAGAAUGAGGACUAACAGAGCUCUAGGGAUACAGGGGCGGAUUAAAUGAGAUGCUGCCAGUGGAACCUCCUAGUGUGGGUCCAGCGCAGGUCGGCAAGUGGUUCGCGUCACCCUCAAUGAUGGUUUGUCUGUUGAGAAGAGGGGAACCGUCUGCCCCAAGGUCACUCACCAAGAGUCCGCACUUGAACCCAGGUCUCCCAGCUGUUACUGAAGCACUUUGUCCCAGCUCUGAUGAACUUUGCAUGUCCCGGGGAGAGCUACCCUCCUCCUGCUGUUUACCAGCCUGUCAGAGACACACCAGAAAUCAAGCUCAAGGUCAAGUCUUGAGACCCACGUGCCCUGGGUGGCGGCACGGCUCUCUUCCGGGGCACCCUGGCUGGGGGGAGGCGGCAGAGGAGAAAGCAGCCAACACAGCAUCACCCUGGCGGGAGCGGUAACUUCUCCUAAUUAUUUCCCAGCUCCCAGAUUCAUUAGCGACCCCGGUAUUAAUUCAGAUUGUCGCAUUUAUCCCCAUCUGUCCCAGAUUCAUCACUGAGACACCGACAAUGCUAAUGUGGAGGGUUUCAGCUAUGAGGCCUCACAGGUUAAAGUUGCUGCUCGGGAGGAGGAAGGACCCCAGGAAUUUUUGCUUGAGAAGGAGGAAGGAGAGCCCCUUUACCCAACCCAGACGCACCACUCCCUAAAGCCUCCAAACCAGGCAGCCCACGGGCCCACGGGCAGAUAACCUUCCACCCUGGCCUCCGCAUCAGAGAAAUUCCUUUUAAAUGACGCUGCAGACCUUCCCACCCACCGAGCUCCCCUCUUUGGUUAACAGAUGGGCUCGGCUAACCAUUCCCAGCUUUCCGAUAAAGCAGUGUCAGGCAGCGAGGCACCCUCAGGAAGGCAUGCUUGGAUAAUAAAAUCCAGGGCACCCCCGCCAUCUGCAGGCCGCCAAUCACGGGGCACAGGGCUCACCAGGGCUCCCAGCCCGCCACUGCAGAGGAGCGGGGGGCAGGACCCCGGCAGGCGGGGUGGCAGCCAGCCCCUGCCCACACUUGCCCGCCCCUGCUGCCCUGUCCUGCUCAAGCCUGUGACCCGUCCCAGCCGAAGCGGGACCCAGGCCAUUCCUGCAGAGCCCCCUCCAUCGAUGCACGCGAGACCCAGCAGGCAGGCAGCACUUGGAAUCAAUGCCGUGAUCACGAGCCUCAAAGGCAGACAGGUUGGACGUGCUGCCAACAUUUUGGCUCAGUAACAUUUCACGGCUUCGUCUCAGGCAAGCCUUUCCCAUUGGAGCCUUGGUUUCUCCAUCUACAAAAUGAGAGUUAAAGGGACUUCCCUGGUGGCCAGUGGUUAAGGAUCCACCUUCUAAUGCAGGGGAUGUGGGUUCAAUCCCUGGUUGGGGAACUAAGAUCCCACAUGCUGUGGGACAGCCCAAGAGUCACAACUAAGAUGCAAUGAAGCCAAAUAAAUGAACAAACACAUUUUUAAAAAAAGGAACAAGAGUUAAAGACAUCUCUUCUCUCACAGGUUUCAUUUAAUGAUGUAAGUAAAAUGCAUGGCACAAUGUCCAGUCCGUGAAUGUAAGUGGUAUGAAGAUGUCAUAAUACAGAAAGCCAUUUAGUCUGGAAAACAGAUUUGGUGAUUUCUGCUUUGUGUGAUUCUUGUGUUGGAGAUGUGAUAGUAGGUAUGCAGUGUCUUAACCUGUUAAUAUAGUAGGUGCCUCUGUUGAAUCUCCACUUCAUUUAUUCAUUUAUUAACAUCAGAGGCAUUCACUAAACACUAUGCCAACCUCUGUUAGGCCUGGAGAAACAAAGUCACGGUUUCUACCGUCAAGUUGUUCAUGGUCUGGAGGGCUGACGGAGCAGUCUCGGCAAAGGUACAGAUUCUGAAGGUCCCAGAAGUUUGCCACCUGUCUAGACAGAGGCCAGGCUUCCCAGAUGAGGCCUCUCCAUAAUAAUAGAGGCUAUUUGUGCCACAUUGCUUGAGCUCUUUCUAAUUGCUGAGGUUUCCUGAGAACAGGGAUGCAAAAUGUGCAGUAUGUGUUCUCUUGAAUCCCACACUGGGCCAAGACAGACAUCACUAAGUGAGCACUAUCCUCUUUUGUACUGAGCCCGAGAAAGAUUCUUUGCUCCUGGCACUUACACACAUGUAAUUGAAACUGGCACCCAAGUUAUAAACAGACACCAUCCCAGCCUUAGUUUAGGGAUCAAUCAUCCAACUAUGUGAGCUGUGCCUGGCCCUCUACUUCUUUUUGUUAAUAAAGUUUUAUUAGAACACAUCCAUGCUCCUUCAUUUACAUAUCAUCUCUGGCUGUUUUUGCACCGCAUGGGCAGAGUUGAGCAGCUGUAGCAGAGACCGAAUGGCUUGCAGAGCCCAAAAUAUUUACAUUCUAUCCCUUUACAGGAAAACUUCUUUGCUGUUGGGGAUUUACUAUAAGAAAGUGAGCAGGGUCACUGCGAACUGAAAUUGUCAGCACCUCCCCAAGUCCUGUCCACUCUCAUACUCCUUGCUGUGAAUGCCCAUGAUUCUCUGCUUCUGACUGCUGCCCUGGCCUUGGCAGCCUGCAUUGCCCGACAGAGGACAGGCUGGAGGUGCCAGCGAGUUAAGUCCCUGCCUGGAGACAAGGCUGAGGUGGGUAAAUGCCGCAGUCCCUCCAGCUCUGAGGCCACCACUGAACAUGACAGAACUGUGUGCCAAACUAUCAGAGAAGUGGUUUCCAGCCUUUGCUCUUGCUUCUGCUUGGUCGUGUCGCACAAGCUGCUGUUAGCUAAACUCUUAGCCUUGUCUCGAAAAGCAAAUCUCCACCCUGAAAUGCCCUACUUUCCUGCCCACGGCAGACAUCAUUAAUCAAUCACAGCCUGACUACCCUCUUUGCGUCUUUUCCAGUAAAGCACGCCAGCCAGAUACUAUCGGCAGAUGGGAACUGGCACAUCAGACUGAAUGCGUUACAUGAGGAAAUGCUCAUGAUAUAAACUGAGCAGAAAGAAACAUGAUGGUAAGUGCAGCAUAAACUAGUUCUUCAAAAGAGAAAGUAAGUUUGCCAGUGCAAAUGAUAAAUGCAGGAAAGUGAUAUCUCAUAGGGAUGUGGGAAGGGGAGGGGCAAGGUUGCAAAGUUCUUUUUUCUCUUUUGUGUUGCCUCUACACUGAGUAUCUACUCAUUUGGUGCUUGUGUUUUUGAGCGCCUAUUAUGUGCCAGUCCUGUGCUGAGGGUGCAAGGAUGAUCAAGACAUGUGUUGUUGCCUAGUUGAAAAGGCAAUUACUAUGCAAAGUGACAAGGUUGGGACAAGGCCCAUGGGGACAUGCUCAGACCUCACUGCCCCUGUGCUUCUUUUCCAUGCGAUUCUUCACAGUUAGGAUGCUGGAGUGACUUGUGAGAUUACGUGAAUUACUCUCAAUAUCACGCAAUGAGUGUCCCUUCUGGAAUCUUCUUUUUCACUCUCUCUCUUUCCCUCUUAGAUUACAGACUCUACGAGGGCAGAUCCUGCAUCUUUUUUUUGCUUCCUGCCACAACCCCGGUGCCUAGAACAGUGCCUGUCAUAGGGCCUGGGCUCAAUUGGUGUUUCAUAAGGAAGAAGAUCCAAUUAUAAAAAAGCAGGAGGUGGGCAUGGGGUGUAGACUGUGAUAAGAGAUAAAGGUGGAUGACUGAUUUGUAAUUACACACAAGAGUUUUCACUUUGUCCUGGAGGUUUUUAAUGUAAUCAAAUGAAAGGAAAAAAAGUAACAAUUUAGUCUUUGCAGAUGAACACAAGGGUGAACCACCCAUACUAGUAUCCAAUUAUUAGCUAAUCUGUUCUGAACGGGAUUUAAUUUUCAGUUCACAUAUAGGCUCUGGUCUCUGAGAACUUCAUCUCAAAGCACAGAACAGGCAACACAGACUUGAAUAUUGAUGGAUGUGUUUGCACCUCUGGAGUAUCAAUAUGUAACAUGUAAUUUGUCUUAAGUUGUAGAGUCACUCGGAUUCCUCCUCUUAAAGUGUUUCCUACCCGUUGUGGCAGAGAAGAGUUUCCAAGACAGGCAGCGGAGAGGGAAACAAAAGCCCAGAACCUGACAUCUCACUCAACUCCAAGAAGCCCCAGGGCAGCAGCCUUUUGACAAGGUCACCAGGACCAAGGCAGCAGUGACCCCCGUUGGACAGGGGCUCCCCCAGAAACCAGGGCCACACCCAGGACCCCCUGGGGGGUGCGGGGGGCGGGAAGUAGAGACUGGAAGAUUGCUCCGCCCAUCCUGCUUGCCCUCCUGCUGCUCCCCGCGCCCCAGCUCCAGCCUAAAGCAAUUAAGUCAUUUGCUGCCGGGACCUGGAGGUGGCAGUAACAUAUAAUCACAAACAUAAACAGUUUCACAUGGUAAUUAUGAAUUCUGCCUAGUUUUUUUUUUUUUUAUCAGUGCAACCCAGACCGAAGAUUAUUUUCUGCUUGAUAUAAUUCUAAUUUUGAUCCACCCUCCCCUCACCUCCACCCAACUUCACGAAGGAUUAAGAUGGGGCCACAGCUGAUCGUUGGGGCUGUGACAGAAUCGAGGUUUCUACUUGCAGAUCUUGUACUGCACAGAUUGGACUGCAGACCUUCCAGCCCGUGUUAGGUUAAAUCUCCAAGUGGUGAAAACCCACCAUUCCACACUGGGCCCGGCCCACCCUGCCCUCUCUUCUCGUCUGCAUCUCAGCGAUAUUUCUCCCCUGGUCUCCUGGACUCCGGUAUAUUUCCUUUGGCUGGGACCAAAUGAAUCUUUCGGAAAACAUGAAUCUUUCUGCCUGACCGCUCCUUCCCAGGUGUUCAGUGUCUAGCUAAAUGGCACCACCGGUAUCCCAAAGUGAAAGUGAAGUUGCUCAGUCGUAUCUGACUCUUUGCGAUCCCAUGGACUGUAGCCCACCAGGCUCCUCCGUCCAUGGGUUUCUCCAGGCAAGAAUACUGGAGUGGAUUGCCAUUUCUUCCUCCACCAGUAUCCCAAGGCAUCAGCUAAAAUCCCCGGAGGCUCUGUGUAUUCCAAACCCAGUCCCAGACAUCCCUUCCCACAAACAGCCUCGGUUCUCCUUUGACUGCAGUCUGUCCUGCUUCCAAGUCGUCUUCUGUCACCUGGGGAGCUGAAGAUGCUCUCCCGCUGGCUGCCAGCUUCCUUUCUGGUCCUUCCUCUUCCCUUUUUGCCUCUCCCUGCCCCGGCUCAUAAUCCACCCUUCACCCCAGCAGCCAGAGGGAACGUUUAAGACAUAAAUCACGCGAUGCCCUUCCGUUGCACUUAGAAAAAAAAAUCCAAAUUCCUUGCUAUGACCCCGCAUGCCUGGCCUCUGCCUCCGUCUCCGCUUCUCGCCUGUGCCAGGCUCACCUUCACACGCUGGGCUCCAGGCAGGCGGGCCUCACUUCUAGUCCUCAGGCAAGAUAAGCCCCUUCCAACCUCAGGGUCUUUGCUCUCACUGACCCCCCCCAAACCCGCCUCCAGCACUGUUGCCACGUGUCUUGAUAAAGCAUCUACUUCUCGUUUAUGUCUUAGCCAAACUUAGCAAGACUUUCUUUGACCAC